AGUGAUUAGAGUGAUAAGAAGGACUCAAUCCACCAUUGAUGGUUUUGAAGAUGGAGAAAGGAAGCCACAAAUGAAGCAUCAGAUUGAUCAAGUUAAUUUACUUGUCUAGAUGGCAUCCUGUGUAACUGGGGUUAAGCAUUACUCUCUGAAACUCAUGGCAUCAGUUUCCUCUUAGGCUCUUCCAACAGAGUAUAAUCAUGUUCAUUUCAGUUUACAAUCCUUGCAGUCCCAUCGAUUUGUGAGAUUAUACCCAGGUCAUCCACAGUGGAGGUCUGAAAAUGUUCUUAGUUGUACUCUAAUUUCACUAACUGCCAAAAGGUUUUCCAGAAUAAUCUCAGUUGCUUCAUUCCUUUAAAGGUGAAGCCCAAAGAACGCAUGGCGAUUACUUUAGAGGAACAAUUAGCAGCAGAGGCAGGGCUGUGCUGAUCCCAUCUGGCAUCGCUGGGAGCUAACACACAUUAAAGACAUGGCACUUUGGGUCCGGGUCCAGGUCCUGGUUCAGAGCAGCUGCCACACCGUGGCUACUAGAGGAUCCUUUUCCGGCUUUGGAAACUGAGGCUGACUGCACCAUUUACAGAAAUUUCAUCAUGAAGAUCCUUACACUUAACACCUUAAGGUGAUGAGUUUUCACAUGACUGUUUUCAAGGCCACAGCCAACACCUUUAAUCAUCAUCACUAAAGGCCUGAGACUGCUCUCCGUGCUCAACACCGACGGGAGCGGCCAUGUCUUCCAGCCACACGGCAGGCUGGAGUGAAGUGGUACAAUCUUGGCUCACUGCAACCUCCACCUCCCGGGCUCAAGCAAUUCUCCUGGCUCAGCCUCCUGAGUGGCGUACCUUCUUUAGUAGAGACUGGGUUUCACCAUGUUGGCCAGGAUGGUCUCUAUCUCCUGACCUUGUGAUCUGCCUGCCUCAGCUUCCCAAAGUGCUGAGAUUACAGGCGUGAGCCAUCAGACCCAGCAUUUUUUUUUUAAUUUAAAUUUAAAUUUUUUUCAUUUUUUUGAAAGGUUUUUUUGUUUUUUUUUGUUGUUGUUGUUGUUGUUGUUUUUGAGACAGUCUUGCUCUGUCACCCAGGCUGGUAGUGCAGUGGCAUGAUCUCUGCAACCUCUACCUCCCAGGUUCAAGCAAUUCUUGUGCCGCAGCCUCCCAAGUAACUGGGACUACAGGUGCACGCUACCACACCUGGCUGAUUUUUUAUGUUUUAGUAGAGACAGGGUUUCAACCAUGUUGCCCAGGUUGGUCUCAAACUCCUGAGCUCAGGCGAGGCCUUCCCAGCCACGUGGAACUGUAAGUCCAAUAAACCUCUUUUGUAAAUUAAAAAAAAAAAAAAUCACUAUUUAAAUACUAGGAUGGAUUGUGACUGUUGAGGAGUACUUACAUAUCCUACAUUUGACUACAAUCCUUCCAAACCAAGUAUUCUAUCCAAAGGAACAUACUGCUAUCAUGGAGACCAAGGAGGGACUGUUUAAGGUUGCCAAGGUGAAGCGAGCUGAAAGGCUUUGUCCUCGUGCCAGCAACUCUGAAAUCUCUCUUAAUUCCUGCUGUCCAGGCAGCAGAAUGCCAUGGUUUCCCCAAGUAGGUAGCUGCUUUAGCAAUUAAAGCCCAAAUGUCUGUUCUGUUGAUCAGAGGUCUCUGAAUUUCUGAAAUGGUGUUUCGUUUCUGGUGACUGAGUUAAUCCUUUACAAUCCCUCUUGUAAAGUGUGCUAAUAGAAAGAAUCCACCUUUCAAAGCUGCAGAACCAGACCGUGCCCUAAAUUGACCAACGUAACUGAUGUGCCUCGGGAAGUCUCUUGCCAGCUGUCCCUGUGAAGACCCCCCUCCUCCCCCCCAGCUGCUGCCUUGCACACUGAAGCAUCUCAGACUGCAAAGCCAUGUAGUCAUCAAGUCAGUAAAUCCCAGGGCUUGGUUAAGUGCUGUGUGAUAACUUGUUUGGAUGAGACUUAACUUAAAACCACUUACAAUAAAAUUGGGAAACUACCGUCAAAAAAAAAAAAAU
rnacentral:lncRNA from 1 species